rnacentral:rRNA from 1 species
UAGUAACGGCGAGUGAAGCGGCAACAGCUCAAAUUUGAAAUCUGGCUUCGGCCCGAGUUGUAAUUUGCAGAGGAAGCUUUAGGCGCGGCACCUUCUGAGUCCCCUGGAACGGGGCGCCAUAGAGGGUGAGAGCCCCGUAUAGUUGGAUGCCUAGCCUGUGUAAAGCUCCUUCGACGAGUCGAGUAGUUUGGGAAUGCUGCUCAAAAUGGGAGGUAAAUUUCUUCUAAAGCUAAAUACCGGCCAGAGACCGAUAGCGCACAAGUAGAGUGAUCGAAAGAUGAAAAGCACUUUGAAAAGAGGGUUAAAUAGCACGUGAAAUUGUUGAAAGGGAAGCGCUUGUGACCAGACUUGCGCCGGGCUGAUCAUCCGGUGUUCUCACCGGUGCACUCUGCCCGGCUCAGGCCAGCAUCGGUUCUCGCGGGGGGAUAAAGGCCCCGGGAAUGUAGCUCCCACGGGAGUGUUAUAGCCCGGGGCGUAAUGCCCUCGCGGGGACCGAGGUUCGCGCAUCU